rnacentral:rRNA from 1 species
CGGUAAUACGUAGGGUGCAAGCGUUAAUCGGAAUUACUGGGCGUAAAGCGUGCGCAGGCGGUCCUGUAAGUCUGAUGUGAAAUCCCUGGGCUCAACCUGGGAAUUGCAUUGGAGACUGCAAGGCUAGAAUCUGGCAGAGAGGAGUAGAAUUCCACGUGUAGCAGUGAAAUGCGUAGAGAUGUGGAGGAACACCGAUGGCGAAGGCAGCCCCCUGGGUCAAGAUUGACGCUCAUGCACGAAAGCGUGGGGAGCAAACAGGAUUAGAUACCCUGGUAGUCCACGCCUUAAGCGAUGUCUACUAGUUGUCGGGUUCUAAUUAACUUGGUAACGCAGCUAACGCGUGAAGUAGACCGCCUGGGGAGUACGGUCGCAAGAUUAAA